AAGGAGCGGUGGACUGAUUACGAGUGAGAAUGUUGGCAUUAGUAGCGAGAUGUAGGUGAGAAUCCUACAGGCCGAAUAUCUAAGGUUUCCUCAGGAAGGCUCGUCCGCUGAGGGUUAGUCGGGACCUAAGCCGAGGCCGAAAGGCGUAGGCGAUGGACAAUCGGUUGAUAUUCCGAUACCACUACCAUCGUUAUUAUCGAGGGUGUGACGGAGAAGGAUAGUGUGUGCUAGCGAUUGGAAAUGCUAGUCUAAGCGUUUAGGGAGUUACGGUAGGCAAAUCCGCUGUAACAAUUCUGAGGCGUGAUGGGGAAGGUCAUUAAGACCGAAGUACAUGAUUCCAUGCUUCCAAGAAAAGCAUCUAGAGAGAGAAGUAGUGCCCGUACCGCAAACCGACACAGGUAGAUGAGGAGAGAAUCCUAAGGCCGGCGGAAGAAUUGCAGUUAAGGAACUAGGCAAAUUGACCCCGUAAGUUCGCGAGAAGGGGUGCCUGCGAGAGCAGGCCGCAGAGAAUAGGCCCAAGCAACUGUUUAGCAAAAACACAGGUCUCUGCUAAAGCGUAAGCUGAUGUAUAGGGGCUGACGCCUGCCCGGUGCUGGAAGGUUAAGGGGAACACUUAGCGCAAGCGAAGGUGUGAACUUAAGCCCCAGUAAACGGCGGCCGUAACUAUAACGGUCCUAAGGUAGCGAAAUUCCUUGUCAGGUAAGUUCUGACCCGCACGAAUGGCGUAAUGACUUGGGCACUGUCUCAACUGCAAAUCCGGCGAAGUUGUAGUGCGAGUGAAGAUGCUCGCUACCCGCGAUUGGACGGAAAGACCCCGUAGAGCUUUACUGUAGCUUAGCAUUGAAUUCCGGUAUUGUCUGUACAGGAUAGGUGGGAGACUGGGAAACUAGGGCGUCAGCCUUAGUGGAGUCAACCUUGGGAUACCACCCUGACAGUACUGGGGUUCUAACAGGACGCCAUGAAGCUGGUGACUGGACAUUGUUAGGUGGGCAGUUUGACUGGGGCGGUCGCCUCCUAAAAAGUAACGGAGGCGCCCAAAGGUUCCCUCAGAACGGUCGGAAAUCGUUCGUAGAGUGCAAAGGCAGAAGGGAGCCUGACUGCGAGACCCACAAGUCGAGCAGGGACGAAAGUCGGGCUUAGUGAUCCGGUGGUACCUCGUGGGAGGGCCAUCGCUCAACGGAUAAAAGCUACCUCGGGGAUAACAGGCUGAUCUCCCCCAAGAGUCCACAUCGACGGGGAGGUUUGGCACCUCGAUGUCGGCUCGUCGCAUCCUGGGGCUGUAGUAGGUCCCAAGGGUUGGGCUGUUCGCCCAUUAAAGCGGCACGCGAGCUGGGUUCAGAACGUCGUGAGACAGUUCGGUCCCUAUCCGUCGCGGGCGUAGGAAAUUUGAGAGGAGCUGUCCUUAGUACGAGAGGACCGGGAUGGACUGACCUCUGGUGCACCAGUUGUUCUGCCAAGAGCAUGGCUGGGUAGCUAAGUCGGGAAGGGAUAAACGCUGAAAGCAUCUAAGCGUGAAGCCCCCCUCAAGAUGAGAUUUCCCAUAGCAUAAGCUAGUAAGACCCCUUGAAGAACACAAGGUUGAUAGGUCAGAGGUGGAAGUGCGGUAACGUAUGUAGCUGACUGAUACUAAUAGGUCGAGGGCUUGACCAA
rnacentral:rRNA from 1 species